rnacentral:rRNA from 1 species
GCUGGCGGCAGGCCUAACACAUGCAAGUCGAGCGGUAGCACAGAGAGCUUGCUCUCGGGUGACGAGCGGCGGACGGGUGAGUAAUGUCUGGGAAACUGCCUGAUGGAGGGGGAUAACUACUGGAAACGGUAGCUAAUACCGCAUAAUGUCGCAAGACCAAAGUGGGGGACCUUCGGGCCUCAUGCCAUCAGAUGUGCCCAGAUGGGAUUAGCUAGUAGGUGGGGUAACGGCUCACCUAGGCGACGAUCCCUAGCUGGUCUGAGAGGAUGACCAGCCACACUGGAACUGAGACACGGUCCAGACUCCUACGGGAGGCAGCAGUGGGGAAUAUUGCACAAUGGGCGCAAGCCUGAUGCAGCCAUGCCGCGUGUGUGAAGAAGGCCUUCGGGUUGUAAAGCACUUUCAGCGGGGAGGAAGGCGAUAAGGUUAAUAACCUUGUCGAUUGACGUUACCCGCAGAAGAAGCACCGGCUAACUCCGUGCCAGCAGCCGCGGUAAUACGGAGGGUGCAAGCGUUAAUCGGAAUUACUGGGCGUAAAGCGCACGCAGGCGGUCUGUCAAGUCGGAUGUGAAAUCCCCGGGCUUAACCUGGGAACUGCAUUCGAAACUGGCAGGCUAGAGUCUUGUAGAGGGGGGUAGAAUUCCAGGUGUAGCGGUGAAAUGCGUAGAGAUCUGGAGGAAUACCGGUGGCGAAGGCGGCCCCCUGGACAAAGACUGACGCUCAGGUGCGAAAGCGUGGGGAGCAAACAGGAUUAGAUACCCUGGUAGUCCACGCCGUAAACGAUGUCGAUUUGGAGGUUGUGCCCUUGAGGCGUGGCUUCCGGAGCUAACGCGUUAAAUCGACCGCCUGGGGAGUACGGCCGCAAGGUUAAAACUCAAAUGAAUUGACGGGGGCCCGCACAAGCGGUGGAGCAUGUGGUUUAAUUCGAUGCAACGCGAAGAACCUUACCUGGUCUUGACAUCCACAGAACUUUCCAGAGAUGGAUUGGUGCCUUCGGGAACUGUGAGACAGGUGCUGCAUGGCUGUCGUCAGCUCGUGUUGUGAAAUGUUGGGUUAAGUCCCGCAACGAGCGCAACCCUUAUCCUUUGUUGCCAGCGGUUCGGCCGGGAACUCAAAGGAGACUGCCAGUGAUAAACUGGAGGAAGGUGGGGAUGACGUCAAGUCAUCAUGGCCCUUACGACCAGGGCUACACACGUGCUACAAUGGCAUAUACAAAGAGAAGCGACCUCGCGAGAGCAAGCGGACCUCAUAAAGUAUGUCGUAGUCCGGAUUGGAGUCUGCAACUCGACUCCAUGAAGUCGGAAUCGCUAGUAAUCGUAGAUCAGAAUGCUACGGUGAAUACGUUCCCGGGCCUUGUACACACCGCCCGUCACACCAUGGGAGUGGGUUGCAAAAGAAGUAGGUAGCUUAACCUUCGGGAGGGCGCUUACCACUUUGUGAUUCAUGACAGG